AGUUCCGCCUUCUUCGGCUGGUGGAGGGAGCUUUCCCGCGGAUGGGUAUGGCGGUGGGCGUUUGUUCAAAGCUUCGUCGCCACAGAAAGCGGCUUCGAGGCUUCGUCGCCACAGAAAGAAGCGUUUCGCUGUGAGAUGCUGCGCGACUGACAGAAGCAUCUGUCAUAGUUAAGCACCUAGGUUUAAAUAUAAUGUUUGAAGAUGAUUGAAUCCUUACUGGUACCGUCCCCCGCGACAAAAACCUUUUAAAAAAAUAUGGCUUCUACUGUUUCCACCCUCGUGUUCUCUGUUGCUCCUAAGGGAUUUCUAGAUGACCGGCGAUGCGGCUUUUUAGAAGAUUCUGAUGAAUAUUUUGCCGCUUUCUCAUUCUCACCGAAAUGAGUUCAAGAUGGUGCCGGUUAAUUGGCUAUUACUGAAACUAGGGUCCGCCUGAGGGAAUUCUGUAAACUGUCCACACAGCUUUUUGUGAAGUGGGAGUGACCCUAACCGACCUCCCUGCUGGUAUUGUACUUUUGGGGCCUUCACGAGAUUGUUGGCACCUGGAUGACUAAAUCUUCAAGUUAUCAUAAAUCAAGACCACAAGCCAAAAAGUAACAUAGGAAAUAAAAAAGACUGGAUCAUUUUAUCAGGUUUUACGCAGUUUCAUUACAGAAGUCUGUAUAGUAGGCUCCAUGCUCAACAUGGAACCCAACACGGGGCUCAAACUCACGACCCUGAGGUCAAGACCUGAGCUGAGAUCAAGAGUUGGAUGCUGACCAACUGAGCCACUCGGGGCCCCCCGAAAAUGUUUCUUUCUUAAACAUUAAAAGAGCAAACAGAAAACUAGUAAGUAAAACUAAAUGACUGUAUAGCUGUUGUUGGAUUCUAUUUUCUUUCUAAUAUUACCUCAGAGACCACAGUGUUUCCCAAAUAGAAUAUAGACAUCACUUGUGUGCUUAGAGCAGUAGAACCAUAAGCUACUUGAAGAACUAAGUUUAUCUCUUGCCUUUGGGCAAUAAUGGUGGCCUAAUAUUUCCUGUCUCUUUCUGAAGCUCUUAUAAUAGUUAAAUGUUAAAUUGCCAUGAAAUAUUUGCAGCAGAUAUGAUAAAUGAAGGAUUGGGAUCCUUAUUUUGAAAAUAAUACUAAUGGGAAAACUGGGCAAAGAAGAAUUA